GGAUCUUUAGCUCAGUUGGUUAGAGCGUUCGCUUCACACGCGAGAGGUCGCUGGUUCGAGUCCAGUAAGAUCCA
rfam:Micrococcus sp. HMSC067E09 Micrococcus_spHMPREF2863-1.0_Cont88.1, whole genome shotgun sequence.